rnacentral:tRNA from 1 species
GGCUCGGUGGCAGAGUGGUUAUGCAGAGGACUGCAAAUCCUUGUAUGCCGGUUCGAUUCCGACCCGGGCCUCCA